rnacentral:lncRNA from 1 species
AUGGUGGAGGAAAGAGGAGACUGGAGGCAAUAGGGGGAGGUGGGCCGAGGGCUUGGAGAGGUGGCCAAGGCUCGAGGAGGCGAGAGGCAGCCGAGGCACUCAGGAUCUGACAGACGGGGGCUCGAGGCGACCAUGGGGUCAUGCUGGGGAUGUCGAGACAUGGGCUCAGGCUCGAGGCAGCAGGAUCGGAGCAGGGGCC